GACGACGCUGGCGGCAGGCCUAACACAUGCAAGUCGAGCGAGCGGCGGACGGGUGAGUAAUGUAUGGGGAUCUGCCCGAUAGAGGGGGAUAACUACUGGAAACUGUGGAUAAUACCGCAUACUAUCGGAUGACCCCAUUUGGGAUUAGCUAGUAGGUGGGGUAAAGGCGAACCUAGGCGAAGAUCCCUAGCUGGUCUGAGAGGAUGAUCAUCCACACUGGGACUGAGACACGGCCCAGACUCAUACGGGAGGCAGCAGUGGGGAAUAUUGCACAAUGGGCGCAAGCCGGAUGCAGCCAUGCCGCGUGUAUGAAGAAGGCCUUAGGGUUGUAAAGUACUUUCAGCGGGGAGGCGUUACCCGCAGAAGAAGCACCGGCUAACUCCGUGCCAGCAGCCGCGGUAAUUC
rnacentral:rRNA from 1 species